rnacentral:rRNA from 1 species
GAUGAACGCUGGCGGCGUGCCUAACACAUGCAAGUCGAGCGAAGCGCUUAAAUUAGAUUUCUUCGGAAUGACGAUUUUUGUGACUGAGCGGCGGACGGGUGAGUAACGCGUGGGUAACCUGCCUCAUACAGGGGGAUAACAGUUAGAAAUGACUGCUAAUACCGCAUAAGACCCCAGCUUCGCAUGAAGCGGUGGUAAAAACUCCGGUGGUAUGAGAUGGACCCGCGUCUGAUUAGCUAGUUGGUAAGGUAACGGCUUACCAAGGCGACGUUCAGUAGCCGACCUGAGAGGGUGACCGGCCACAUUGGGACUGAGACACGGCCCAGACUCCUACGGGAGGCAGCAGUGGGGAAUAUUGCACAAUGGGGGAAACCCUGAUGCAGCGACGCCGCGUGAAGGAUGAAGUAUUUCGGUAUGUAAACUUCUAUCAGCAGGGAAGAAAGUGACGGUACCUGACUAAGAAGCCCCGGCUAACUACGUG